CUCUCUUGCUCUGGAACUAAUUUACAGUUUUAAUUUAAAGACAUAAGGUAAGGAUUUUAGAAGAAAAGGAAGAAAGGAAGAAAGGAAGAAAGAAAGAAAGAAAGAAAGAAAGAAAGAAAGAAAGAAAGAAAGAAAGAAAGAAAGAAAGAAAGAAAGAAAGAAAGAAAGAAAGAAAGAAAGAAAGAAAGAAAGAAAGAAAGAAAGAAAGAAAGAAGAAAAAAAGAGUGAAAAAAGGAGGGAGGGAGGGAGGAAGGAAUGAAGGAGGGAAGGAAAGAAGGAAGGAAGGAAGGAAGGAAGGAAGGAAGGAAGGAAGGAAGGAAGGAAGGAAAAGAAGAAAGGGAAAGAGGAAGAGAGAGGAAAAGGAAGGAAGGAAGGAAGGAAGAAGGAAGGAAGGAAGGAAGGAAGGAAGGAAGGAAGGAAGGAAGGAAGGAAGGAAGAAGGAAGGAAGAAGAAAAAUGAGUGGGCAGGCAAUGAUUACUCUUACUACU
rnacentral:lncRNA from 1 species